UACGUAGGGUGCAAGCGUUAAUCGGAAUUACUGGGCGUAAAGCGCGCGUAGGCGGGUUCUUAAGUGAGGGGUGAAAGGUUCGGGCUCAACCCGAACACUGCCUUUCAUACUGGGAGCCUUGAGUGCGGGAGAGGCGAGUGGAAUGGUCGGUGUAGCGGUGAAAUGCGUAGAUAUCGAUCGGAAUACCCAUGGCGAAGGCAGCUCGCUGGCCUGCAACUGACGCUGAGGCGCGAAAGCGUGGGGAGCAAACAGG
rnacentral:rRNA from 1 species